UACGUAGGGUGCGAGCGUUGUCCGGAAUUAUUGGGCGUAAAGAGCUCGUAGGCGGCCUGUCGCGUCGGAUGUGAAAGCCCGGGGCUUAACCCCGGGUCUGCAUUCGAUACGGGCAGGCUAGAGUGUGGUAGGGGAGAUCGGAAUUCCUGGUGUAGCGGUGAAAUGCGCAGAUAUCAGGAGGAACACCAGUGGCGAAGGCGGCAUCCUGGACCGGUAUUGACGCUGAGGAGCGAAAGCCAGGGGAGCAAACGGG
rnacentral:rRNA from 1 species